AAAAGCGGUGUAUGUUUCUCAGGCCAUUUUUUUCGGCACUCAGCCCAUAGGUACUUGUCAGCAAGAAGCUUGAGGAGGGCAUCUGCUAUGGCUUUUUGAUCAUGUGGGUCAACAAGGAGGCCAUUGUUAAGUACCUUGAAGAUAUCCACUGGCCCACCAUUUUUGGUGGCAACAACAGGUAGACCAUAAGCUGCUGCCUGUGAGAUGAAAUAAAAAUGAGAACUAAUAAUUAUAGAACUCGUGAUUACCUUGAAUUCAUUUACAUGAUCCUUAGAGCUCUGAAGUGGGUUAUUUUUUAAAUGCUUAUUGUAGAAAGUAUGAUGUUACUAUGAUCCAGCUUACUCAUAGCAACUCAAAACCUUUGU